GACGAACGCUGGCGGCGUGCUUAACACAUGCAAGUCGAACGAUGAAGCUGGAGCUUGCACCGGUGGAUUAGUGGCGAACGGGUGAGUAACACGUGAGCAAUCUGCCCUUGACUCUGGGAUAACUGCGGGAAACUGUAGCUAAUACCGGAUACUUUCACUGGAAGGCAUCUUCUGGUGAAGAAAGAAUUUCGGUCAAGGAUGAGCUCGCGGCCUAUCAGCUUGUUGGUGAGGUAACGGCUCACCAAGGCGACGACGGGUAGCCGGCCUGAGAGGGUGACCGGCCACACGGGGACUGAGACACGGCCCAGACUCGUACGGGAGGCAGCAGUGGGGAAUAUUGCACAAUGAGCGCAAGCCUGAUGCAGCAACGCCGCGUGAGGGAUGAAGGCCUUCGGGUUGUAACCCUCUUUUAGCAGGGAAGAAGCGAAAGUGACGGUACCUGCAGAAAAAGCACCGGCUAACUACGUGCCAGCCGCCGCCGUAA
rnacentral:rRNA from 1 species